UUGCUGCAAUUGGCCCUUUGGGUUUCUGGAGGUUGAGUACAUAACUGCUGCUAUUUCCUAUUGUGUUGUACCCUGCCUCGCUGAAAAGAAAAUAACUUGAGGGAAGACGGGGUUAUUUUUGCCAGCUUGAAAUGAUCAAGUUUGAUUUCUAAAAACCCGAGUCUUUAGGCUUGUACGUUAGAAACAGCAUUGGAACCACAUCGCUGUUCAAGUGCGCUUUGCCGAUGGUAGGAACUCUGAAAUGCAUUCAUAAAAGAGAAACAGCUCUUCUGUUCCUGCGAUGCAGCCCCUUUUGUAGAACCCAGGGUGCCUGUUCAGUGCCGGGAUCCUGCCUGGUGUUGGCGUUAGGGCUGAUGGAGCUCUGUGCCUGUGGCUCAGCCCGCACUGCCUGGGCUCUGGGCACAGCCAGAAGGGCUUUACUUUAAGCUGCUGGGAGUUAAGCGGUUUGUCUUCCCAGACAAUGCGUGUGUGGACACAUCUCCUGCAAGGAAAAUGACGUGGUGUGCUGGCAGCUGAUGUAGGCAGCUAUGGGGUGCUCUGUCCUCCCGUGUUUAGCUUGCCGUCUCAUCAGCUCUGAGAAGACCUCUGGCUUUGCUGUGAGUGCAUGGCAGUGCUGCAGGCCAGGCAUUCCCUGUGCUGUGCAGAGCUUUGGGCCAAAAGGGCCAGGGCGGUCCCUUCAAACCUUGAUCAGAGCAUUACUUGCUUUCUGCUGGUCCCUAAGCAGCAUUUCUUGCCUGCUCCAUAGCAUUCUUCAUGUGCUGGUUUGCUGUGGCUAGCAGUGCAGGCCCAGCUGUUCGCACUGGUCCUCCUUUUCCUACUGCCUGGAAUCUCUGUGUUAUGCAAGGAGAGAAAAUCCAUGAAUACUUGUAACCUGUAACUGUAACAGCAGCAGCCCAACGAGGUGGCUGAAGGGGCAGGGUGAUGGGCACAGAACAGGGUCUGUUGCUCUCCUGUGCUUCUCUCACACCCCUCAGUGUGAGAGAUGCUCAGUGAUGCUCUGGCUCAAACCUCAUUCGCUUUUUUGCCUCCUCCCCAAUCUAAAAUAGAGAUAGCAGAAGUGUGCCAGCAAACCAAACGGUAGUGGAUGGGGGUUCUUGUUGCUCUGUCUUAUAGAAGCCCACCCUAAAGGAGUCGGCGCUUUCCUUGAGUGAGAAUUUCCUUAAAACACGUUGCUUCAAGAGCAGGGAGUGUGAAGGGGCGUGGGGAAAUGUCCUGCAGGAGGGAGGACAGCUGGGUUUGCUGGGGCUGGUGUUCAGCCUCCAUACCUUUUAGGGACGGGAUGGGCACAUUUGACACGAUCACAUUUGUACUUGGCAAUUAGCAGUAGCUGUAAGCGCUGACGAUGCUGUGACCAGCAGGGUAGUUAACGUGUCUCUUUGUGUUUGACCACGCAGGCAGCGUGCCCCUCCAGUCCCUGCACAGGAAUCCUGCCCUGCUGCUGGUUGUGGAGAGCCGUCCAGAGCCCUUAUCGUUGGGAUCCUGCUGUGCUCCUGAGGCGCUGUGUUAUUCAGCACAGCGAGGCCGAGCAGCCGCCUUGCUUGCAGGGUUAGCAGGGCGAUAAAUCACAGCCAAAGGGGCUGAAACCCUGAGUGAAGAGUGCGAGUCGACUCAGAAGCAGACCAAGCUCUGUCUCCAGGCGGGACCGAGCGCCGGCCCAUCGCCAGCCUGAUGCUGCAGGAAACACGGAGCCUUCUGGGAGCUGUAGUUCAAGCGGACGCCGAUUGAGUGACCCAAAAUGUGAGAGCCUGGUGCAGCUGCCGCUCCUCCUGGCAGGCACAGCUCGUUGCCAGGGCUCUGUGCAGACCAUCUAGCAUGCUCCUCCAAGCGGGCCGUGCAGCUGGCGCCUGCAGCAGCCGUUCCAUUCCGGGGACACCGGGCUGAGCUCACACCAACUGGGCAUCGCACCCGCAGAGCUGAGCUGUCUUGGGCUGGCACAGCCUCAGACUGGAAGAUCUGCUGUUUACCAAUCAACACUCUGCUGCUUUGGACCCCUCUUCCUCUGCCUGCAUACUUAUGAAGAGUCGGUGCUGGGCAUUGAGUGCAGCUCAGCCCAACUCAGCUGAUGUGCAUGAGUUUCUUCUGUGUUAAAGUUGGGCCAGAACCUCUUUCAAGGCAGCUGAAAGAAGGUAAAGAUCCUCAGGCUUGCCUUUGCAUGUUCAUGUUUGUGGCCAGAAAGGUGUGCUGCUGUUCUGGACUUUGCUGAAGCGUAGCAUGAAGUAUGAGGUCCUGUUAUGUGCUGGUCGAGGUUUCCAGGUUAAAUUAUCUUGUUACCUCCUUAAUAGCCCAUCUAGAAAACUGUGUCCAGGCACCUAAUUUCAUUUAAUUAGAUCUCCACAAGUGGAUCAGC